rnacentral:rRNA from 1 species
AUUGAACGCUGGCGGCAGGCCCAACACAUGCAAGUCGAACGGUAACAGGAAGCAGCUUGCUGCUUUGCUGACGAGUGGCGGACGGGUGAGUAAUGUCUGGGAAACUGCCUGAUGGAGGGGGAUAACUACUGGAAACGGUAGCUAAUACCGCAUAACGUCGCAAGACCAAAGAGGGGGACCUUCGGGCCUCUUGCCAUCGGAUGUGCCCAGAUGGGAUUAGCUAGUAGGUGGGGUAACGGCUCACCUAGGCGACGAUCCCUAGCUGGUCUGAGAGGAUGACCAGCCACACUGGAACUGAGACACGGUCCAGACUCCUACGGGAGGCAGCAGUGGUGAAUAUUGCACAAUGGGCGCAAGCCUGAUGCAGCCAUGCCGCGUGUAUGAAGAAGGCCUUCGGGUUGUAAAGUACUUUUGGCGGGGAGGAAGGGAGUCAAGUUAAUACCUUUGCUCAUUGACGUUACCCGCAGAAGAAGCACCGGCUAACUCCGUG